rnacentral:lncRNA from 1 species
UGACGAGAUGCUUGGAGAGGAGAAUUUUGAUUUAGAAGAUUUUUGAUAUAUUUUAUUUUUAUUUAAAAAAUAUUAUAAUAUAAUUUGAUCAAUAAUAUAAUUUAAGUAUUUAAAAAAUAUUUCUAUAUUAUUAUUGAGUUUUAUAUAAAAUUUUUGGUCCUUGCAAGUUUUAGUUUGAGUAAUUAUAUAUUAAACUGCGUC